CCUACGGGAGGCAGCAGUGAGGAAUAUUGGUCAAUGGACGAGAGUCUGAACCAGCCAAGUAGCGUGAAGGAUGACUGCCCUAUGGGUUGUAAACUUCUUUUAUAUGGGAAUAAAAUGUUCCACGUGUGGGAUUUUGUAUGUACCAUAUGAAUAAGGAUCGGCUACUCCGUGCCAGCAGGCGCGGUAAUUCGGAGGAUCCGAGCGUUAUCCGGAAUUAAUUGGGUUAAAGGGGGUGUAGGUGGAUUGUUAAGUCAGUUGUGAAAGUUUGCGGCUCAACCGUAAAAUUGCAGUUGAAACUGGCAGUCUUGAGUACAGUAGAGGUGGGCGGAAUUCGUGGUGUAGCGGUGAAAUGCUUAGAUAUCACGAAGAACUCCGAGUGCGAAGGCAGUUCACUGGACUGCAACUGACACUGAGGCUCGAAAGUAUGGGUAUCAAACAGGAUUAGAUACCCUAGUAGUC
rnacentral:rRNA from 1 species